rnacentral:rRNA from 1 species
GAUGAACGCUGGCGGCGUGCCUAAUACAUGCAAGUCGAGCGAACAGACGAGGAGCUUGCUCCUCUGACGUUAGCGGCGGACGGGUGAGUAACACGUGGAUAACCUACCUAUAAGACUGGGAUAACUUCGGGAAACCGGAUCUAAUACCGGAUAAUAUAUUGAACCGCAUGGUGCAAUAGUUAAGGACGGUUUUGCUUUCACUUAUAGAUGGAUCCGCCCCGCAUUAGCUAGUUGGUAAGGUAACGGCUUACCAAGGCGACGAUGGGUAGCCGACCUGAGAGGGUGAACGGACAGACGGGAAGUGAGACACGGCCGCGACUCCGACGGGAGGAAGCAGUAGGGAAUCUUCCGCGAUGGGGGAGAGGGUGACGGAGCAACGCCGCGGAAGGGAUGAAGGUCUUCGGAUGGUAAAACUCUGUUAUUAGGAAAGAAGAAAUGUGUAAGUAACUAUGCUCGUCUUGACGGUACCUAAACAGAAAGCCACGGCUAACUACGUG